rnacentral:rRNA from 1 species
UACAGAGGGGCAAGCGUUGUUCGGAAUUACUGGGCGUAAAGGGCGCGUAGGCGGCCUUCUAAGUCGAACGUGAAAUCCCCGGGCUCAACCCGGGAACUGCGUCCGAUACUGGAAGGCUUGAAUCCGGGAGAGGGAUGCGGAAUUCCAGGUGUAGCGGUGAAAUGCGUAGAUAUCGGGAGGAACACCAGUGGCGAAGGCGACUACCUGGCCUGUAACUGACGCUGAGACGCGAAGCGUGGGAGC